UCCAGUUUUAAAUCACUAGAAGUACUGCUUCGUUUCAUUGCUGCUCACCAGGUGUAACCGUUCACAUACAAUGCAGUGGCUCCCAAUUGCUGCUCUACUUUUAAUCACAGCUGCUUGCACUGAAGGUACAGGGUAUCGGUACAAGCACAGGUACAUGUACCAUGGAUCAAUAUGGGGCAAACUGUUGUGCAGGAUUGGACUAUGCAAAGUCCUGUGACCAUCAAACACUAAACUACUAGCGUUUUAGAACUAAAUGUUUUUGUCUAUAUAGGCAAUGUGCAGUGCAGAGAAUGACACAUGUGGAAACGAUCAGCAGUGCUGUGGAGAUGGCAUCUGCCAGAUGGGAACGUGUAAAACACCAGAGCCCGGCACAGAUGGCUCUGGAUGCCAGUCAGAUGCCGACUGUAACAAAACCCUUUGCUGUGCCAAACACCAUCAGAAAGGAUACUACUAUAGCAGUAGGCAUGUUUGUACGAAGUUGAGGACUGCAGGACAGGUUUGCUACCCGAGAGAAGACAACUGUACUGUACACCACAAGUGCCCAUGAGCUCAAGAGCUAACAUGCUCGACAAACAGGACUACAAGUUACUACAGGAGUUACUUCGGGCACAAGCAAAAGAGAGUAAUCACAAAGAGUAGAUGUAUGGAAGUAAUGCCUAAGACAACUGAUACCCCUACUACAACUGAUCCCCAUACUACAACUGAUCUCCCUACUACAACUGAUCCCCAACUACAAGACCUGUGACAAAAGACACAAACGUAACAACAAUAUCUCCAGCCGAAAUAACCGAUGAACCAGAGGAACCGAUUGAGCUUGAACAGGAGCCUGCCCAAGGUAUAGAUGGUGAACAGAAGCCUGCCCAAAAUAAUGGCGGCAAGCAGAAAAAAGCAAAGAAGAAUGGAAAGAAAAAAGUAAGAAAAGAAAAAAAGCCAAAACCAGGAAAAGACAAAAGAGAAUGAAAUUAAGGAAGACUGAAACAAAGAACACAAAGCAGAUACCGAGUGAACACUUUCAUGUGCUGUCAGUAGAGUAGUAUGAGUAGAUUAGCAUCAUCUGUAGAUGGUUGUCUACACGGAUUG